ensembl:rRNA 5S_rRNA 5S ribosomal RNA
GCUUACGGCCAUACCACUCUGACAAAGCCUGAUCUCAUCUGGCCUCGGAAGCAAAGCAGAGUUGGGCCUGGUUAGUACUUGGUUGGGAGACUGAAUGGGAAUACUAGGUGCUGUAAGCU